AAACAAAAGGACACUUGAGUUAUUCGCCCUCAACCAAAACAUUUCAGAAUUCCCCUCCUUUUGAAAAUCGAACAUCCCUCUCUCUCCCUCCUUUUGAAAAUCGAAACCCUCAACUCUCUGAAUCUCCCUCCCAUUUGUUUCUUCUUAGUCUCUUAAACAAAUCUGUAAUUGGUCUCUAUGGUCGUCACCGAGCUCGCCGACAUAGGUCAUUGUUUGCGACCCAUCUUUAGCCCCUUGGUUGUCGUUGUCUCUGAGCUCUGCCUCCAAUCUCAUAUCUCUAUUACAUAUCUGAAGCACCAUCUCCUCUCGUGCCAUCCAGGUAAUGGAACUCACCGAGAUCGCCAUCUCCCUCACGCUGUCUAGGUCACCGAGCUCGCCCCAUCCAUCUCAUCGAGCUUGUCGAGCUCGCCAUCUCUCUAGUGGAUGAGAAGCGUGAGAAGAUGCUUCAAAUCUUUUACGACUCUCAAGAUUUCUUCCUUCUAAAGGAGCUUGAGAAGUCUGUCCCAAAGAAAGGUGUUAUUUCUCAAUCUGUGAAAGAUGUGAUCCAAAGUUUAGUGGAUGAUGACCUUGUUUUCAAAGACAAGAUAGGAACCUAUAUGGCGGACAGGUCAAUCGCAUACCCAGGCGGAAUUAUUGAAGAUGUUCUAGUAAAGGUUGAUACACUCAUAUUCCCAACAGAUUUUUUGGUUUUGGAUAUGGAAGAAGAUUCUGACACACAAUUAAUUUUGGGCCGUCCAUUCCUGAUUACUGGACGGACUCUGAUUGACGUGGAAGAAGGUUUAAUAACUGUGAGAGUUGGGAAUGAAAAAGCGACAUUCAAAGUUUUUGAACCAAUAACAUUUCACGGAAAAGCGGAGGAAAAGGAGACUCCGAGCCAUCCAUUGGUACAUGCCUCCACCUCAAAAGCUGACAAACCAAGGGUUGCCGAACCUGCCUUGUACUUGGAUGAACCAAAACCAUAUGACCCAGGAAGGAAUGAGUUAGAGGAACUUCAAAAUAAAUCAUAUGAGAGUGCGAGAAUUUACAAGGACCAUGCAAAGAAGUGGCAUGACAAGCAUAUCAAGAAUGAUCGUGACGGUACAACCUUCAAAAUCAAAGGCCAUCGAUUGAAACCACAUAUGGCAGCUGCAUUUCUUAAGGAUGAGACCAACGUCCUCCUCAAUAAUCCCAAAUAACGCAUCUGAAAGGCGGGCUAUUGACUCUAAACUAAGCGCUUGUUGGGAGGCAACCCAACUAGGUUUGUAUGUUGUGAAAACCAACUCAAUUUGCGUGCCAAGAAGUGUGCCACCCAAAGAUAAUAUGUUAGUGGCCAAUUAAAGAACUUCAACAUAUCCAUGAAGCAAUGAUGAUGAAGAAAGAAGUGCAACCAGCACAAGAAGAAAAGAAUUGAAAAGAAUGCAUGAAGUGUCACACCCAUUGAUAGGACCCGACCUAAAUUCCACUUUGGAAUCCGAGCCGAACCCUGUGCACCUGGCGGGUGCCGGGCACAAAUAACCAAAAUACCCUUCUAAACCAAAUCCAAAGAAUUUCAAGCUCGACUUCUGCCGAAAAUUUGACAGAGUCUCCCUUAUAAAAUGAACAUUUCCCCAAAAAGCUUUCACCUGUCAAACAAGCAUAUAUGAAUAUAACCCAACUGCCAGCAUGUAUCAAAUUAUAUCAAAAGUCAAGCAUCAUAUUAUUCUGGCCUCAGGCCUCAAUAAAUCAAAUAAAUCAUUCAGCUAAUAAAAUUCAUCUCAACUCUCAGAAUAUCAAUAA